GUCUUUCUUGAAGUUGGUAUUGGAUCUAGAGUUAGGACCUUUCCCAAGCUGCAGAUGUGGUCUAAAAACUCGUCUUGACUCGACUGAGUGGAUUUAACUUCAUAUUAAAUGAAGACUCAAGUAACUCGAUCUGGUCACGACUUGGUAAGGAUGGUAAAGACUAAAAAAAACUCCAGAAAAAGCACAAUGAAACCUCACAAAAAACUUGAGUGGACCCCAUAAGUGGGACCACCACCCAAUAGCAUGUUGCUGCCAGAAGCAGAACCCCAUAUUUCUUCCACAGAAUCUCCUAAUUGUUCCAGCGCAACUAGAAAGAGAUUCUUUAACCAGAAAGAGUUCAGUUCAGAUGUAGGAUACCUAUCCAGACGUGUGAUGGAAUCAGCAAAGAUUUGAUCUUUUCUAACUCUAUUUGUAACUCACUAGAGGCUCGGGAAACAAAGAGAAUAUGUGUACAAACGAGAUAUCCAGCAACAAGAAGGAAAAAAGGAUUGAAUAGAGGAACUCCUGAUCAUUUGGUGAUCUCAGAUGUGUAAUGAUUUCUUUGGACCCUAGGAAUCAAUAAUAUUAACAUAUUUUUAUAUUUUCA